AAUAUUGGACAAUGGGCGAAAGCCUGCUCUAGCCCUGCCGCGUGUGUGAAGAAGGUCUUAGGAUUGAAAAGCACUUUAAGUUGGGAGGAAGGGUUGUAGAUAACUACUCUGCACUUUUGACGUUACCGACUGAAUAAGCACCGGCUAACUUCGUGCCAGCAGCCGCGGUAAUACGAAGGGUGCAAGCGUUAAUCGGAAUUACUGGGAGUAAAGCGCGCGGCGGUGGUUCGUUAAGGUGGAUGUAAAAGACCAGGGCGCAAGCUUGAAACUGCAUCCAAAACUGGCGAGCUAGAGUACGGUAGAGGGUGGAGGAAUUUGCUGUGGAGCGGUGAAAGGCGUAGAUAUAGGAAGGAAAAACAGUGGCGAAGGCGACCACCUGGACUGAUACUGACACUGAAGUGCGAAGGCGUGGGGGGCGAGCAGG
rnacentral:rRNA from 1 species